rnacentral:rRNA from 1 species
AACGAACGCUGGCGGCAGGCUUAACACAUGCAAGUCGAGCGCAUCCUUCGGGGUGAGCGGCGGACGGGUGAGUAACGCGUGGGAACGUGCCCUCUUCUACGGAAUAGCCUCGGGAAACUGAGAGUAAUGCCGUAUACGCCCGCAAGGGGAAAGAUUUAUCGGAGGAGGAUCGGCCCGCGUUGGAUUAGGUAGUUGGUGGGGUAACGGCCUACCAAGCCGACGAUCCAUAGCUGGUUUGAGAGGAUGAUCAGCCACACUGGGACUGAGACACGGCCCAGACUCCUACGGGAGGUAGCAGUGGGGAAUCUUGGACAAUGGGGGCAACCCUGAUCCAGCCAUGCCGCGUGAUCGAUGAAGGCCUUAGGGUUGUAAAGAUCUUUCAGCUGGGAAGAUAAUGACGGUACCAGCAGAAGAAGCCCCGGCUAACUCCGUG